rnacentral:rRNA from 1 species
UACGGGGGGGGCAAGCGUUGUUCGGAAUUACUGGGCGUAAAGGGCUUGUAGGUGGCCAACUAAGUCAGACGUGAAAUCCCUCGGCUUAACCGGGGAACUGCGUCUGAUACUGGAUGGCUAGAGUGUGGGAGAGGGAUGCGGAAUUCCAGGUGUAGCGGUGAAAUGCGCAGAUAUCAGGAGGAACACCGGUGGCGAAGGCGGAUCUCUGGGCCAUUACUGACGCUGAGGAGCGAAAGCGUGGGGAGCGAACAGG